CAAUCAUGCGAUUAAUCGCGAUUAAAUAUUUUAAUUGACUGAAAGCCCUAAUUAGAAGACUAAAACCCUGUAAAUAACCAUUGCUCUUGCACAAUCCAUGCCCCUCCACACAUGUUUGCCUAACUGAAGUGCUUUUAGACCUGUCCCACAUUAGGCAAAUCAUACUGUCCCACUUUGCGAAACAUGUUUCCUAAAGUGGGACGAUGGAACAUUUGAUUGAAAUAACAAAUAGAGUAUAUUUACACCAUAUUAUAAUAUUUUCUAAUGAACAAACACAUCCUGAUAAAAACUUGCAAGAUUGUUUUAUUCAAACGAAAUUUAAAACCUUAACAUUACAUUUGUCAAAACACUAUGUCACUGACCUUUGGGUGGUCUUCACACAGGGUACUUCCUGUUGAAGGUUGCUCCACCCUCAUCUGUGAUUGGACAUUUGAGAAGUCAUGUGAUUUUGAUCGCAUGACAUCACAGCUUGUGUUUACCCAUAAUUUAAUUGACUCAUUUGUUUGCGGAAGACCUAUACCCAUUUGAGCUUAGGUGUCCCACAUUAGGGCGUGUCCCACAUUAGGGCAACUCACCCUACUUCUAAACGACUGACAUGAUUGCCUCGCAAGUCAGAGGGGUUGGAGGAAAUCCAAAGAGAUGGUUUCUAUAAAACAUUAAGGGAUCAACAUUAAUAUAAAAAUAAACAGUGUAUAUCCCUUAUUUUGUAAUCAAAAUAUGAAAUGUUGGCAGUCUCAUUACACCAGUUAAAAUAUUGACUUUACCUGCCGAGGUCAGUUUCAUCAGCUCUGCUCUCAUCUCUGGGUUUAUCGGUAGAAAAGAGUGUGACAAACAGCUGUAAUGUUUCAUCACUGCAAACUGGUGUUUACAAGGCGCUCCUGUUUGUCCUGGAGGGCAAGAACACAGCUCCAAAUCCAUGUCUACAUCAUACGUUUGGCUGUUAUAUCCAUUACCUGCUGAAUACGCGAUGCUGCAAUGUUGCCAUCGUGGGAGGAAUUUUGCUCGCUGGAAUGAUUCCCAGCGUCCAAGGGCAACAUCAACGAUGCGUGCCUCAUAAUAGAGAGGCGAAGUCCCUCCCCUUCCGGUGGACCUCCAUGGGACCUUAUUUUGGAAAAAAACAACACACGUCACCAAGAUGGCCAUCACUGCUGUCUUGUCAACAAAAGGAUUGCCUACCCUCACUAUUACCACCAUGAAACACGCCCAGGAGAAUGUCAAGCAAAGCUGCCUGCCUGCCUUCCUUUGAUUCUCUCUGAACUGCCUGGUCUUUUUAAUGUUUAAUGUCAA